rnacentral:rRNA from 1 species
GCUCAGAAACUCAAGGAAUUGACGGGGCCCGCACAAGCGGUGGAGUAUGUGGUUUAAUUCGAUGCAACGCGAAGAACCUUACCUGGUCUUGACAUCCUGGAGACCCUUAGGAAACUAGGGGUGCUUCCAUCUGGAAGAAUCUGGAGACAGGUGCUGCAUGGCUGUCGUCAGCUCGUGUCGUGAGAUGUUGGGUUAAGUCCCGCAACGAGCGCAACCCUUGCCUUUAGUUGCCAGCAGUUCGGCUGGGCACUCUAAAGGGACUGCCGGUGUUAAACCGGAGGAAGGUGGGGAUGACGUCAAGUCCUCAUGGCCUUUAUGACCAGGGCUACACACGUACUACAAUGGCCGAUACAAAGGGCAGCGACACUGCGAGGUGAAGCCAAUCCCGUAAAAUCGGUCUCAGUCCGGAUUGGAGUCUGCAACUCGACUCCAUGAAGUUGGAAUCGCUAGUAAUCGUGGAUCAGCAUGCCACGGUGAAUACGUUCCCGGGCCUU